ensembl:lncRNA
UUUUUUUUUUUUAAAUCACAUUUUCACAUUUCCUGGAAUCAAGAGCUAAAAGCUCCUGGAAAAAUAUAAUCUGAAAUUUUCUCAAUUCCAGAACCAUUGGAUGGUUGAUAGGUUGGGUUUUCUGGGAACUGCGUCUCUAAAAUAUUCCUGGCAGCUGCAAAACAAACUGAAAGAUAUGUAUUAUCCUCUUCCACUUUUUAUCAUUGAUAAGACUUAAGCUAAACUGCCCAGUAACUGAUCAGAUAUUUUAUGCCCAGGGCAUGGACAUAGAUGGUCAUUAAGGUCUCCUCCAUCCCAAAGCAUGCCAUGAUUUCCCCAACAGUACAGAUGCUCAGGCAUGUAAGAAACUUUAAUUUCAACACUUCCCUUUCCAAAAAUAAAAUCCAGUGACUUUGAAAUUGCUCCAGUGAUAUAGAGCACAAGAAAUAUCUUUACAGUGUUCAGGUUUAGGACACAGUGUGGUAGGAACUGGAAAUGCUUAAACUUUUUGUUACACUUUGGUUUUAGCCAAAAAAUUGUGGCCACCGGCAGUUGGGGGUUUGCAGAUGGAACUUGUUUAAGGUGAAAUCAGGUCGAGUAAAGCCAGAAAAAGCAAAUGAAAUUCUGUGUGCCCAUAGAAGAGGCCCUGGGCUGGCAGCUGGCACACAGACAGCAGUAGGUGAGGAGAGUGGAUGGGUUGGGACUUGUCCCACAGGUAAUUUUCCCUGAGACUCAUUGCAGAACCAGGGUCUGCCUGACAUUUCCUUCAGCUUUCCUGCAGCAGCACCAAGAUGUGGCUCAGUGCUGGUUUGAUAAUAGCUGUUUAUGUGAAAUCAAGAGUGGGAAUUGGGGGGCGAACGUCAGUAAACAUUUUCUAGGAGUUUAGGCUCUUAUCCUCCGAAAUCCUCUGCAAAAACACAAUGGAAACCUCUCUGAGAGACACUUGAAGCUGACCAGAAUGAAGUACAGAGAGCAGGGAAUUGCACUGCCCUGAUGUUAACCUGCACACGGACUCAGAUGGCUCAGCUAUUACUAAAUCUCAAUGAUAAUUCUGGUGAUAAUUGCUCCCUUUAUUUCUAAACUGAAUUGUUGUAAUUCAUUAUAGUCUUGUCUAACAGGUCAAAUUACUGGAAAACUAAAGCAGAUACAAAAUGAGUUGUUGAUAGUGCUCCUUUUUGGAGCCUCAGUUGUUUGAUCAGUCAUUUUACAUUAUUAUAUAUUUUUAUUGAUUACUGAUCAUGUGUUACACUUUGAUUUUUAGGUUGUUCUAACUUCCACAGCUCCUGGAUUAAGCUGCUGUGAACCAACUGCUCUUUAUGUAGUUUUCUGACAAAUAUCACAGCAAAUAGAUCCAGAAAUGCUGUUUUUUGAGUCCUUGUUCCUGUAAGUUCCUCCCACUUCCCAGAGGUCAUCUUCAGUCUCAGCUGAAGGAGUUUUUGUGUAGAGUAAGAAUUAGUCACUAAAGCAUGAUCGGAGUAGAUAAAUGCCCAUUAAAGCUUUGUGCUGUUGGAGGCUGUGUAUAAAUUUAACACCAUACAGUUACAAUCUCCCCAGAGCACCUCAACAAAUGCUCGAGCUCCAGAAAAAUCCAAGUAUGUGCUCACAAGCUUUGAAUCAGGGCUAUGGAACACACACUGCCUAAUUUGCACCUACCAUUCAUAGCGUGAACCUCUGAACUAGCAAGCAAGUGAACACCCAGGCAAAGGUUGUGGCUCCCAAGAUGUCUCACUAAUUGCUGUGGCUGUAAUUUAAUGUUAUUUAUUUAUUACACUCCUAUUUUCUGUAGCUGUUGGUUCACAACAAAAACCUGAAAUGUUUGAGUUACAAUCCAUCCUCCUAGCACCAUGACAUUAAAUAUUUUCUAAGAGAAAUUUUUAUUUUAAUUAUAAGCUUUCUACUAAAGCUUCAUUAAUUUCUAUUACAGAGCUAAUUGCAGGUCUCUUUGCCUUAUUUAAUUUUUUUUUAGCAACAAAAGUUCUUGAACCAAUGCUUAUUCUGCUAUGAGUACAAAUUUUUCAGUAAUUAUACAAAACACAAUGGAUGAAUUGGACUAGAUUUGCAAAUUUUCCUGCUAAACAGUUGCAGGACAAUUCUGCUUAGGUUGAAAAGAGUAUGUUUAAAGAAUUAAUUUAAUUUAUUAAUUAAAUUCAGAAUUUAAAGAAUUCUGAAAAGAGAGGAAUGCCAGCUUUCAUGCUGAAUUUGGUAUCAAAUUAACACAGCAACAAAUUUGUAGAAUUGAGUGAAUUUGCUCUUGAGCUAUGGGAAAUGCGGACUGGGAUGCUUGGGACCAGGGAGUUUGUCUUCGUUGUGAUUGUUUCCAAACUUGCAGUGUUUUUGGUUUUAGGUUUUUGGGUUGC